AGAGAACUAGAGAUGCACACGACAUAAUUCGUCAGUAAAUGUAAUUAAUUCUACACUACAACAAAAACGGUCUAUAGCGACACUUUUAAAUAUAGGUAUAUGUCAAAAAAGUGCUGCUAGCUAAAAUUACCGACACUUUUAAAAAGUGUUGCUAUAUGUGGCGUCGCUAGGUACAUAGUAACAGUUAAAGAGUGUCGCUAUAACCUAAAAGAGUGCUGCUAAUUUAUCAACAACUUAUUUAAGCAUUUAGCAACCGCCGAAACUCUAUCUCGUUGGCUGCGGUGGCGGAGGAGGACGACAGGAAUGGCUUUUCGUCUAGAAUUUCAGUAGAUUGAGUGAAGAGAGAAGAAAAAUAGUAAUUAAUUUUUCUUUUUUUUUCUUUUCUGUUUGUAAUCAGGUCAAAUGGACUGGGUGUGGUGGGUUGAGUAGAGUAAUCUUUUAUUUUUUAUUGGAUUGGGCUUUAUAUUUAGGCAUUAGUAGAUGUUUUUUUAAGUUUUAGUAUAAAUGAGACACUUACUCAAAAAUGUCCCAAACAUGUGUCCCUAUAACCUAAUUCUGUUGUAGUGCUACUUGAUAAAGCAUGCCUAGUUGCUAGGAAUGGCCUCAAAUAAGA
rnacentral:lncRNA from 1 species